CGAUGUGAGGGCGAUUUGGCUGCGACAUCUGUCACCCCAUUGAUUGUCAGGGUUGAAUCGGCUGAUCUGGCUGGCUGGACAGGUGCCCCCUUCCUCUCUCACCACUCCAUGUCUGUCCCUCUGAAAGAGUGAGAAGAGGAUGGCCUUCCCCGAAUAGUGACUGACUGGUCUUCUGUUGAGGGUAUAUGAGUAGCUGCGCUUCCCUGCUAGAACCUCCAAACAAGCUCUCAAGGACAGAAAGAAAUCAAGAGAGACAGGGGGAGAGAAAGAUAGACACCUGCAGUCCUGUUUCUCCACUUGUGGAGUGACACACCU
rnacentral:snRNA from 1 species